CAAGAAUCCUGUGACCAAGGGGAGAGGACGAGGGAUUCAUUCUCUGGAAAAUGGGCUGGAAAGCAGUUCCGGCGAGGGGGGAGCCUCAGCAGGAUUGCUG
rnacentral:sRNA from 1 species